rnacentral:rRNA from 1 species
GGAUCGAAAUACUUUGAGAUCGACGUCGACGUGCACUGGUUCAGCUACAUAUCAUGAAAGGGCCCCGAGACCUUCCGAGAGCGGCACAAAGAUGGCGCCAUCGAUCUUGGGCUGACCAUUCAGGUACUUACGUUUCCUUAUGUUAUUGGCCUUUAG